CUCCAUUUGAGUGCGCAGGACGGAUAUUAGCAGAUCGAUUAUUGAUAGAGACAAAUGGAGGAUUAAAAAGAGAAAAAUAUCGUAGGAACAAAACAUUAAAAAGAAGGGUUACAAUCUGGAAAGAGGUAGGACCUGGGUAAAUAUCAGAGCAGCUUUCCAGCGUUGGAGAGAAACUCAAGGAGCAGGAAGGGCUCGAAUCGGACGUCGAGGUUGCGUUGUUUCUUUUUGAUAGGGAAUGCACCGAUCCCUGAUCUGCCAAAGUGCGUUUAUGUUCGCACCAAUCAUUCAUGAUCCAGCUUCAUCUACAGAAGAUACUGAUGGGUGGAGUCUUGCGAUGGCCACGCCUCUCUUCAAAAAC
ensembl:lncRNA